AGAGUUUGAUCAUGGCUCAGAUUGAACGCUGGCGGCAUGCCUUACACAUGCAAGUCGAACGGCAGCACGGGUGCUUGCACCUGGUGGCGAGUGGCGAACGGGUGAGUAAUACAUCGGAACAUGUCCUGUAGUGGGGGAUAGCCCGGCGAAAGCCGGAUUAAUACCGCAUACGAUCUACGGAUGAAAGCGGGGGACCUUCGGGCCUCGCGCUAUAGGGUUGGCCGAUGGCUGAUUAGCUAGUUGGUGGGGUAAAGGCCUACCAAGGCGACGAUCAGUAGCUGGUCUGAGAGGACGACCAGCCACACUGGGACUGAGACACGGCCCAGACUCCUACGGGAGGCAGCAGUGGGGAAUUUUGGACAAUGGGCGAAAGCCUGAUCCAGCAAUGCCGCGUGUGUGAAGAAGGCCUUCGGGUUGUAAAGCACUUUUGUCCGGAAAGAAAUCCUUGGCUCUAAUACAGUCGGGGGAUGACGGUACCGGAAGAAUAAGCACCGGCUAACUACGUGCCAGCAGCCGCGGUAAUACGUAGGGUGCAAGCGUUAAUCGGAAUUACUGGGCGUAAAGCGUGCGCAGGCGGUUUGCUAAGACCGAUGUGAAAUCCCCGGGCUCAACCUGGGAACUGCAUUGGUGACUGGCAGGCUAGAGUAUGGCAGAGGGGGGUAGAAUUCCACGUGUAGCAGUGAAAUGCGUAGAGAUGUGGAGGAAUACCGAUGGCGAAAGCAGCCCCCUGGGCCAAUACUGACGCUCAUGCACGAAAGCGUGGGGAGCAAACAGGAUUAGAUACCCUGAUAGUCCACGCCCUAAACGAUGUCAACUAGUUGUUGGGGAUUCAUUUCCUUAGUAACGUAGCUAACGCGUGAAGUUGACCGCCUGGGGAGUACGGUCGCAAGAUUAAAACUCAAAGGAAUUGACGGGGACCCGCACAAGCGGUGGAUGAUGUGGAUUAAUUCGAUGCAACGCGAAAAACCUUACCUACCCUUGACAUGGUCGGAAUCCCGCUGAGAGGUGGGAGUGCUCGAAAGAGAACCGGCGCACAGGUGCUGCAUGGCUGUCGUCAGCUCGUGUCGUGAGAUGUUGGGUUAAGUCCCGCAACGAGCGCAACCCUUGUCCUUAGUUGCUACGCAAGAGCACUCUAAGGAGACUGCCGGUGACAAACCGGAGGAAGGUGGGGAUGACGUCAAGUCCUCAUGGCCCUUAUGGGUAGGGCUUCACACGUCAUACAAUGGUCGGAACAGAGGGUUGCCAACCCGCGAGGGGGAGCUAAUCCCAGAAAACCGAUCGUAGUCCGGAUUGCACUCUGCAACUCGAGUGCAUGAAGCUGGAAUCGCUAGUAAUCGCGGAUCAGCAUGCCGCGGUGAAUACGUUCCCGGGUCUUGUACACACCGCCCGUCACACCAUGGGAGUGGGUUUUACCAGAAGUGGCUAGUCUAACCGCAAGGAGGACGGUCACCACGGUAGGAUUCAUGACUGGGGUGAAGUCGUAACAAGGUAGCCGUAUCGGAAGGUGCGGCUGGAUCACCUCCUU
rnacentral:rRNA from 1 species